GCAGAAUACAAGUUCAGCGUGCCAUUUGCAGGAAUUGCGUAUUUCUAUUUGUUUCUACUUGUUCUCUCAAAAGGUUAAAAAUUAUUUAUCCAUAAAAUGUGUACUCAUUAACUUUUAGCAGAGUGAUCUUCCUUUGUACAUGGUUGAAUCAUUUGAUCGUCAAGGUUUUCAAAAAUAAAUUCAUUGUGCACGAAAUCAAACCUGUCUUGAGCUCUUAGCAUCAAAAUUGC
rnacentral:misc_RNA from 1 species